rnacentral:rRNA from 1 species
AGAGUUUGAUCAUGGCUCAGAACGAACGCUGGCGGCAUGCCUAACACAUGCAAGUCGAACGAAGCCUUCGGGCUUAGUGGCGCACGGGUGCGUAACACGUGGGAAUCUGCCCUUCGGUUCGGAAUAACAGUUAGAAAUGACUGCUAAUACCGGAUGAUGACGUAAGUCCAAAGAUUUAUCGCCGAAGGAUGAGCCCGCGUAGGAUUAGGUAGUUGGUAGGGUAAUGGCCUACCAAGCCGACGAUCCUUAGCUGGUCUGAGAGGAUGAUCAGCCACACUGGGACUGAGACACGGCCCAGACUCCUACGGGAGGCAGCAGUGGGGAAUAUUGGACAAUGGGCGAAAGCCUGAUCCAGCAAUGCCGCGUGAGUGAUGAAGGCCUUAGGGUUGUAAAGCUCUUUUACCAGGGAUGAUAAUGACAGUACCUGGAGAAUAAGCUCCGGCUAACUCCGUG